AGUAAUUUAGAAUGUGAUAGUUACAAUUGCUUAUAUUACUUCUCUAAAACAUGUGUUUUGACUUCAGUGAAAUUCUAUUCAAACAUAAAAAAUACAGCUUUGGUACUUCAUUAUAAAAGUUCACAAUUUUAAAACAUUACUUAUUACAUGGAUAUAGAAUUAUAUGUUUCAAUUAAGUGUGGUACUUUUCAAUGAGAUUUCAAUUUAAACAACAAAUAAUUAAAUUGAGGCAAUCACUUACAGCAUAAUAAAUAAGUAAAUUAAAUAUAACAAAGCCAACUUAAAACCUUUACACAUAUCUACAUGGUGUAUUCUCCACUCUUAUAAAGGCAGCCAUAUGGUUGAAAAUUUGAAUUUUUUUGUUUUGUUCCGUUUCCAUUUUAAUACCUAAUAGGUAGGGGAGUGGCGGGUAGUACGGCACGUCGGGUAGUAUGGCCCAGUCAUUAGUUCACACACUUGCCGCUAGAUAACAGCACGGUACAGAGGUGUGUAUGCAGAGCCCACGCCUGUGUACUGUUUGCGAACUGUUGGUAGUUGUCAUUGCUGUGCGUCAGAAGAAACUUUUUUUUGUGUGUUUUACUCGUUUCGGCUGCUGUUUCGAAUAACUUUUGAGAUUAACUGAGUGGAAAUAGGGACGAUGCCUAAAUUUAAGAAGAAGUCCGCUGGAGAAGGGCGAGGAGAAUGGUCUGAAGAUGCGAUGAAAUCAGCUGUGCAAGAUGUUUUGGAAAACAAAAUAGCGGUUCGGGCAGCAGCAGAACGUCAUAAUGUUCCCAGAACCACUUUACGAAGAAAAAUUUUGGCUGUAAGAACAAAAUCGCAAGUGGAAAUGAAACCUCAGCUUGGAAGCUUCAAAGUAAUUUUUGAUGAGAUGUAUGAAAACGAGCUUUUAAGGCAUAUGAAAUAUUUGGAUGCACGACUUAUGCCAUUAUCGAGACAUGAAUUCCUAAAGCUUGCAUACGAACUAGCAGAAAGUUUGAAGUUGCCUCAUAGAUUCAACAGGGAAAGUAAAUUCGGGGAAAGAUUUUUAUAUGGGUUUCAUGAAACGACAACCCGAGCUAAGUCAUCGAAAACUACAAUCAACUAGCUUAAUGCGAUCAGUAGGUUUUAACAAACCCCAAGUUGAAAGAUUUUUCGAUCAACUUACGAAGCUUCAAGAAGACUAUUCUUUUCAUCCAUCUAAAAUGUAUAACGCAGAUGAAACAGGGGUUACAUGCGUUCACGAAAAUUAGAUGGUGAUUUCAGUUAAAGGAAAGUGCCAAGUUGGGAAAAUGACUUUGGGGGAGAAAGGUUGCACAGUAACACUCAUGUUUGUAUGAGUGCAACAGGUCAUUUCAUACUACCUCUUUUUAUAUUCCCCCGGAAGAUAAUAAAUGAUCGACUAAUGAUUGGUGCUCCUACAGAAAGUAGCCAUUUCCCAACCCCCACCGGAUGGAUGAAUGGUCCAGCAUUUUUGUCAUGGCUGAAACAUUUUGUUUCAUUUACAAAGCCUACUGUAAAUUAUCCAGUUUUACUUAACCUGGAUGGCCACAGCAGCCACAAGGAACAAGAUGUCAUAAUGUAUGCACGUGAAAACCAUGUUCAUAUGCUAAGUAUCCCAGAGUGCCUACCAAGUCGCUUGCAGUUUGUGGAUGAGGGCCAAUCUUGGACUCAGGAUAAACGAAUAUGACAUCGCAAAAUUGGUCGCAGAUGCAUACAGGCAAGCCAGCCGUUUGGAAAUAGCAGAAAAUGGCUUCAGAUGCACAGGAAUAUAUCCCUGGAAUUCACAAAUAUUCACUUAUUUGGACUUCAUAGGCAGUGAGUUAACCAACAUAUCACUCAGCCACUCGAAAUCAAUCACACCUGAAACUUCAGCCGCAGUUGCUGUCCAAACCUCUACCAUGACAUCUCCUCAGCCAUCGAGGACGACUGACGUAGGCCUAUUAGCUGUUCUAUCAACUACUGGAACUUCUGCAACUGUUGUAGUUCAAACAUCUGCAGUGUCUUUUCCUGAUCCAUCAAGGGUGCCUGGCGACCCAGCUGCAGUACCAUCGCUUGCUGGAACUUCUGCUGCAGCUGCUGUUCCGAUGUCUGCUGUGCUUUCUCCUGAUACAUCGAGGGUGUCUGAAGUAUCAGCUGUUCUACUAAUUGUUGAGACUUCUUUGAAACUACACACACAUUCACAUCUUAGUGUUAGCUGUUCCGAGUUUGUAAAAACCUCUAAAAAUUGUCUCCUCUACCAUCGUGUAGUGAUAAAAGACUGACAAGUCGUAAGAGGAAGGCAGAAAGAAGUGAGAUUAUGACCUCAACUCCAAUAAAAGAUGCACUUAUAGAAAAGAAAAAA